rnacentral:lncRNA from 1 species
UAUAUAUGGUUAACUAAGGAUUUGUUGUUGACUUGUUUUAAAUGCAGGUUCCCGUUACUUGAAGCUAGAUCAUGGCAGGAGGCCAAGUUUAAGUUAGUAAGGGUUUGCUUAGCCUUAGCUUAUAUUGCAUGCUAGGGCUAGAUUGAUUGUUAUUUUGGGUUGUUUGGGUUAGAGUCUAGUUUGCGGGUAGAGGCCGCCAGCACACUGAGUAAU